rnacentral:tRNA from 1 species
GCCCGGUUAGUGUAAUUGGUAGCACGCGGUCCUCUCAAGGCCGUAGCGCGGGUUCGAAUCCCGUACUGGGUAC